CCCGCACAAGCGGUGGAGCAUGUGGUUUAAUUCGACGCAACGCGAAGAACCUUACCAGGGCUUGACAUCCCCUGACCGCGUAUGAAAGUACGUUUUCACCCUCGGGUGACAGGGAGACAGGUGGUGCAUGGUUGUCGUCAGCUCGUGUCGUGAGAUGUUGGGUUAAGUCCCGCAACGAGCGCAACCCCUACGUUUAGUUGCUAACGCGUGAAGACGAGCACUCUAGACGAACUGCCGUUGACAAAACGGAGGAAGUGGGGAUGACGUCAAAUCAUCAUGCCCCUUAUGUUCUGGGCUACACACGUGCUACAAUGGCCGGUACAGACGGACGCAAAGCCGCGAGGUGGAGCAAAUCGCAGAAAGCCGGCCUUAGUUCGGAUUGGAGUCUGAAACUCGACUCCAUGAAGGUGGAAUCGCUAGUAAUCGCGCAUCAGCAUGGCGCGGUGAAUACGUUCCCGGGCCUU
rnacentral:rRNA from 1 species